CGGCGAGGCCGAUGGCGGAACAACGCGAGGGUGGAGGCUGGUGCCGAACUCCGGCCUCUAGCACACAGGAUUUACUUUCUACUUGCGCUCGGCUGGGGUACCCAUGACGGAGUUAUCCGAGCCUGAGAAAACCUGCUCCGGGUGAGCCCGAGCCGCCCCGGAAAUGCGAUGGCCAAAGAGCGGGCACUGAGGACCAGACCGAGAUUGGAUUUCAAACCAAGGUACUGGAUUCUCCUAGAAAACAUAAAGACUGUGUAACAGUGAACAUGGCAUAAUCUGCAUUAACAUCCCACAAUGUGAAGGCAUGACAAUUAAGGAACACACGUGGACUUGUGGCACAUGGAAAUGUAUGCACAGAAAAAGGAAAUCUAUAGUUCUUUAAAAACAGGAACGAGUUCUUCCUCACCAAAAUGGGUACAUUCUGCUCAGUUAUCAAGUUUGAAAAUCUACAAGAAGUAAAGAGACUUUGUCACUGGGGUCCCAUUAUAGCCCUUGGUGUUAUAGCAAUAUGUUCUACCAUGGCCAUGAUUGACUCUGUGUUGUGGUAUUGGCCUUUACAUACCACUGGAGGAAGCAUGAACUUCAUCAUGUUGAUAAAUUGGACUGUCAUGAUUCUUUAUAAUUACUUCAAUGCCAUGUUUGUUGGUCCUGGCUUCGUCCCUCUGGGGUGGAAACCGGAAAAUUCUCAGGAUAGCAUGUACCUCCAAUAUUGUAAAGUCUGCCAAGCAUACAAGGCACCACGGUCACAUCAUUGCAGAAAGUGUAACAGGUGUGUGAUGAAGAUGGACCAUCACUGUCCUUGGAUCAACAACUGCUGUGGUUAUCAAAAUCAUGCUUCGUUCACACUGUUUCUCCUUUUAGCACCACUGGGUUGUAUUCAUGCUGCCUUUAUUUUUGUUAUGACAAUGUAUACACAGCUUUAUAAUCGGCUCUCCUUUGGGUGGAACACGGUAAAGAUCGAUAUGAGUGCAGCCCGGAGAGAUCCUCUUCCGAUUAUUCCGUUCGGAUUAGCUGCAUUUGCUGCCACCUUGUUUGCCUUGGGAUUAGCUUUAGGAACAACCAUAGCUGUUGGGAUGCUGUUUUUUAUCCAGAUGAAAAUAAUUCUCAGAAACAAAACUUCUAUUGAAUCAUGGAUUGAAGAGAAGGCUAAAGAUCGAAUUCAAUAUUAUCAACUAGAUGAAGUCUUUGUUUUUCCUUAUGAUUUGGGAAGUAGAUGGAAGAACUUUAAACAGGUUUUUACGUGGUCAGGGGUCCCCAAAGGAGAUGGACUGGAUUGGCCAAUAAGAGAAGGCUGUCACCCGUACAGCUUAACAAUAGAACAGUUGAAACAAAAAGCAGAUAAAAGAGUCAGAAGUGUUCAGUAUAAAGUAAUAGAAGAUUAUAGUGGUACCUGCUGUCCUUUGAAUAGAGGAAUCAAAACCUUCUUCACGAGCCCCUGCACUGAAGAGCCUCGGAUAAGGCUACAGAAAGGGGAGUUCAUUUUAGCCACAAGAGGCUUACGAUACUGGUUGUAUGGAGAUAAAAUUCUUGAUGAUUCCAUUAAAGAAGUUUCAUUUUCUCCCUCAGAUGUUUCAAGAAUAAGAGGAUGGUUCCCUAGAAACUGUGUAGAAAAGUGUCCCUGCGAUGCUGAAACAGAUCAAGCCCCAGAGGGCGAGAAGAAAAAUAGAUAGCCACUUUUGAAGUAAAAUUACUCUAAGUCUGCUCCAUUACUUGAAAAUUGUACAUAUUACUAAAGAAUUAUGCAAUGAGCCUACUCUGGUUAAGGUGUUCUUUUCCUCAAAGGUGCCCUAAUGCCAUGAUCUAAAUAUUUUUAUUAUCAUUUUGAAAUGGAGAAGCCAUUCUGCACAUACCUUUGAAUUCCUGCACCUCGAUGCCACCGCUCCCUCUCCCCAAAAGGAAAAACACUUCACCCAAAUAAUUUGUAUUCUUGGGCCCUUCAAAUUACCUACAACCUCAACAGACCACCUAAGAGAAUGAACGUGCUAGAACAAGAAAAAUCCACUUUCUGCUUUUUGACCAAAUCCCUUUAGUGACAAAGUUGUCCAAGAGAGAUCUCAAAAGGUCGUCCUCAAAGGGAUCCAUGAGGAUGAUCAAUUUCAGGCCCGGGGUGAGGCCUUUCUCCACAUUCUUAAUCAGGGCCAAUGCCUUUUGGGGCGUGUCACAGAUCACCGUGGCGAUCUCAGCUGAAAGCAGAAAUAGGGCCGGGGGUUACCCUCCUGCUUUGCUGUGUACCCCAUUGUCUUGCAAAGAGGAAGAGAUUCUUGAGAAUUUCAAAGCCACUGGGUCCCCAAGGGAGAUUAUGUCUGUAAAUCAGAUUUGUAAUGUAUAAAAUCUGAAACAUUCCACUGAUAAUAAAUAAGCUUAAUUGAAA